CCUACGGGAGGCAGCAGUGAGGAAUAUUGGUCAAUGGGCGGGAGUCUGAACCAGCCAAGUAGCGUGCGGGAUGAAUGCCCUAUGGGUUGUAAACUUCUUUUAUAUGGGGAUAACAUGUUCCACGUGUGGGGUUUUGUAUGUACCGUAUGAAUAAGGGUCGGCUAACUCCGUGCCAGCAGCCGCGGUAAUACGGAGGAUCCGAGCGUUAUCCGGAUUUAUUGGGGUUAAAGGGAGCGUAGGUGGGUUGUUAAGUCAGUUGUGAAAGUUUGCGGCUCAACCGUAAAAUCGCAGUUGAAACUGGCAGCCUUGAGUACAGUAGAGGUGGGCGGAAUUCGUGGUGUAGCGGUGAAAUGCUUAGAUAUCACGAAGAACCCCGAUUGCGAAGGCAGUUCACUGGACUGCAACUGACACUGAGGCUCGAAAGUGCGGGUAUCAAACAGGAUUAGAUACCCUUGUAGUC
rnacentral:rRNA from 1 species